AUACCCCAUGAUGUUCAGGUCCGCCGCAUCUCCUGGGUCGUGGGGUGGCCGAUCGGGAUCAAGUGCACAGUGGCAUCCUCGUUCCACGCCUUUUUUCCGGUCGGCCCUCGA
rnacentral:sRNA from 1 species